rnacentral:rRNA from 1 species
AGUGAACGCUGGCGGUAGGCCUAACACAUGCAAGUCGAACGGCAGCACAGUAAGAGCUUGCUCUUACGGGUGGCGAGUGGCGGAUGGGUGAGGAAUACAUCGGAAUCUCCUUUUUCGUGUGGGAUAACGUAGGGAAACUUACGCUAAUACCGCAUACGACCUCCGGGUGAAAGCAGGGGAUCUUCGGACCUUGCGCGAAUGAAUGAGCCGAUGUCGGAUUAGCUAGUUUGCGGGGUAAAGGCCCACCAAGGCGACGAUCCGUAGCGGGUCUGAGAGGAUGGUCACCCAGACUGGAAGUGAGAGACGGUCCAGACUCCGACGGGAGGCAGCAGUGGGGAAUAUUGGACAAUGGGCGCAAGCCUGAUCCAGCCAUACCGCGUGGGUGAAGAAGGCCUUCGGGUGGUAAAGCCCUUUUGUUGGGAAAGAAAAGCAGCAGGUUAAUACCCCGCUGUUCUGACGGUACCCAAAGAAUAAGCACCGGCUAACUUCGUG